rnacentral:rRNA from 1 species
GUGCCAGCCGCCGCGGUAAAACGUAGGAGACAAGCGUUAUCCGGAUUUACUGGGCGUAAAGCGCGUGUAGGCGGUCUGGCAAGUCGGACGUGAAAUCUCCUGGCUCAACUGGGAGAGGCCGUUCGAAACUACCAGACUUGAGGGCAGUAGAGGGAGGUGGAAUUCCGGGUGUAGUGGUGAAAUGCGUAGAUAUCCGGAGGAACACCAGUGGCGAAGGCGGCCUCCUGGACUGUCCCUGACGCUCAGACGCGAAAGCUAGGGGAGCGAACGGGAUUAGAAACCCCGGUAGUCCUAGCCGUAAACGAUGCAGACUUGGUGUUGGUGGCUUAAACUCCAUCAGUGCCGUAGCUAACGCGAUAAGUCUGCCGCUUGGGGACUACGACCGCAAGGUUAAAACUCAAAUGAAUUGACGGGG